rnacentral:rRNA from 1 species
UGGAUGAUGUGGUUUAAUUCGAUGCAACGCGAAAACCUUACCCACCUUUGACAUGGCAGGAAUCCCGAAGAGAUUUGGGAGUGCUCGAAAGAGAACCUGCACACAGGUGCUGCAUGGCUGUCGUCAGCUCGUGUCGUGAGAUGUUGGGUUAAGUCCCGCAACGAGCGCAACCCUUGCCAUUAGUUGCUACGAAAGGGCACUCUAAUGGGACUGCCGGUGACAAACCGGAGGAAGGUGGGGAUGACGUCAAGUCCUCAUGGCCCUUAUAGGUGGGGCUACACACGUCAUACAAUGGCCGGUACAGAGGGUAGCCAACCCGCGAGGGGGAGCCAAUCCCACAGAGCCGGUCGUAGUCCGGAUCGCAGUCUGCAACUCGACUGCGUGAAGUCGGAAUCGCUAGUAAUCGCGGAUCAGCAUGUCGCGGUGAAUACGUUCCCGGGUCUU